UACAGAGGUCUCAAGCGUUGUUCGGAUUCAUUGGGCGUAAAGGGUGCGUAGGUGGCAUGGUAAGUCGGAUGUGAAAUCCCGGGGCUCAACCCCGGAACUGCAUUCGAUACUGCUGCGCUAGAGUACUGGAGAGGAGAUUGGAAUUUACGGUGUAGCAGUGAAAUGCGUAGAUAUCGUAAGGAAGACCAGUGGCGAAGGCGGAUCUCUGGACAGUUACUGACACUGAGGCACGAAAGCGUGGGGAUCAAACAGG
rnacentral:rRNA from 1 species